rnacentral:rRNA from 1 species
GAUGAACGCUAGCGGCAGGCCUAACACAUGCAAGUCGAGGGGUAACUAGAGUGAUAGCAAUAUUACUUUGGCUAGACCGGCGCACGGGUGCGUAACACGUAUGCAACCUACCUUAUACUGGGGAAUAACUUCGAGAAAUCGGCGCUAAUACCCCAUAACAUUGCGAAGAGGCAUCUCUUUGCAAUUAAAGCUCCGGCGGUAUAAGAUGGGCAUGCGUCCAAUUAGCUAGUUGGUGAGGUAACGGCUCACCAAGGCUACGAUUGGUAGGGGUUCGGAGAGGAUGAUCCCCCACACUGGUACUGAGACACGGACCAGACUCCUACGGGAGGCAGCAGUGAGGAAUAUUGCGCAAUGGACGAAAGUCUGACGCAGCCAUGCCGCGUGCAGGAUGACGGCCCUAUGGGUUGUAAACUGCUUUUGUACGGGAAUAAACCCUUCUACGCGUAGGAGGCUGAAGGUACCGUAAGAAUAAGCACCGGCUAACUCCGUGCCAGCAGCCGCCGUAACAC